GACGAACGCUGGCGGCGUGCUUAACACGUGCAAGUCGAACGGAAAGGCCCUGCUUUUGUGGGGUGCUCGAGUGGCGAACGGGUGAGUAACACGUGAGUAACCUGCCCUUGACUUUGGGAUAACUUCAGGAAACUGGGGCUAAUACCGGAUAGGAGCUCCUGCUGCAUGGUGGGGGUUGGAAAGUUUCGGCGGUUGGGGAUGGACUCGCGGCUUAUCAGCUUGUUGGUGGGGUAGUGGCUUACCAAGGCUUUGACGGGUAGCCGGCCUGAGAGGGUGACCGGCCACAUUGGGACUGAGAUACGGCCCAGACUCCUACGGGAGGCAGCAGUGGGGAAUAUUGCACAAUGGGCGGAAGCCUGAUGCAGCAACGCCGCGUGCGGGAUGACGGCCUUCGGGUUGUAAACCGCUUUCGCCUGUGACGAAGCGUGAGUGACGGUAAUGGGUAAAGAAGCACCGGCUAACUACGUGCCAGCAGCCGCGGUGAUACGUAGGGUGCGAGCGUUGUCCGGAUUUAUUGGGCGUAAAGGGCUCGUAGGUGGUUGAUCGCGUCGGAAGUGUAAUCUUGGGGCUUAACCCUGAGCGUGCUUUCGAUACGGGUUGACUUGAGGAAGGUAGGGGAGAAUGGAAUUCCUGGUGGAGCGGUGGAAUGCGCAGAUAUCAGGAGGAACACCAGUGGCGAAGGCGGUUCUCUGGGCCUUUCCUGACGCUGAGGAGCGAAAGCGUGGGGAGCGAACAGGCUUAGAUACCCUGGUAGUCCACGCUGUAAACGGUGGGUACUAGGUGUGGGGUCCAUUCCACGGGUUCCGUGCCGUAGCUAACGCUUUAAGUACCCCGCCUGGGGAGUACGGCCGCAAGGCUAAAACUCAAAGGAAUUGACGGGGCCCCGCACAAGCGGCGGAGCAUGCGGAUUAAUUCGAUGCAACGCGUAGAACCUUACCUGGGUUUGACAUGGAUCGGGAGUGCUCAGAGAUGGGUGUGCCUCUUUUGGGGUCGGUUCACAGGUGGUGCAUGGCUGUCGUCAGCUCGUGUCGUGAGAUGUUGGGUUAAGUCCCGCAACGAGCGCAACCCUUGUUCACUGUUGCCAGCACGUUAUGGUGGGGACUCAGUGGAGACCGCCGGGGUCAACUCGGAGGAAGGUGGGGAUGACGUCAAGUCAUCAUGCCCCUUAUGUCCAGGGCCUCACGCAUGCUACAAUGGCUGGUACAGAGAGUGGCGAGCCUGUGAGGGUGAGCGAAUCUCGGAAAGCCGGUCUCAGUUCGGAUUGGGGUCUGCAACUCGACCUCAUGAAGUCGGAGUCGCUAGUAAUCGCAGAUCAGCAACGCUGCGGUGAAUACGUUCCCGGGGCU
rnacentral:rRNA from 1 species